AAGCUUAACUGUCUCCUUCAUAGAAAAAAAAAUUAAUCUUAAUGUGAAGAAGCAUUAAUACACUUAAAAGACGAAAAGACCCUGCUGAGUUUUAGUACAGAAAUUAUUUAAAUUUCCUGCUACUUUUGUUGGGGCGACACAGGAGUAAUAAACCCUCCUUUCCUUUUAAUUCAAUAAAUCUACGACCCAAAACAUCUUAAUAAUUAUUUUUGACCAUUAGAUAAAUUACCACAGGGAUAACAGCGUUAUUUUUUUUGAAAGUUCUAAUUAACAAAAAAGUUUGCGACCUCGAUGUUGGACUAAGGCCUCCCUAAGG
rnacentral:rRNA from 1 species